CGGGUUAAGUCCCAUAACGAGCGCAACCCACGUCGUUAGUUGCCAACAGGUCAAGCUGGGAACUCUAACGAGACUGCCGGUGUAAACCGCGAGGAAGGUGUGGAUGACGUCAAAUCAGCACGGCCCUUACAUCCAGGGCUACACACGUGCUACAAUGGCCGGUACAGACGGACGCAAAGCCGCGAGGUGGAGCAAAUCCUAAAAAGCCGGUCCCAGUUCAGAUUGCAGGCUGCAAUUCGCCUGCAUGAAGUCGGAAUCGCUAGUAAUCGCAGGUCAGCAUACUGCGGUGAAUACGUUCCCGGGCCUU
rnacentral:rRNA from 1 species